rnacentral:rRNA from 1 species
UGGGGAAUUUUGCACAAUGGAGGAAACUCUGAUGCAGCGACGCCGCGCGAGUGAUGAAGAUCUUCGGAUUGUAAAACUCUGUCCUUAGUGAAGAUAAUGACAGUAACUAAGAAGCAAGCCCUGGCUAAAUACGUGCCAGCAGCCGCGGUAAUACGUAUGGGGCAAGCGUUGUCCGGAAUUAUUGGGCGUAAAGGGUACGUAGGCGGGUUAAUAAGUCCUAAUUAAAAGGCUAUGGCUCAACCAUAGUAUGGUUAGGAAACUGUUGAACUUGAGUAGAUGAGGGUAAAGUGGAAUUCCAUGUGUAGCGGUGAAAUGCGUAGAUAUAUGGAGGAACACCAAUGGCGAAAGCAACUUUCUGGAAUCAAAAUGACGCUGAGGUACUAAGGCGUGGGGAGCAAACAGG